GACAGAGGGUGCAAACGUUGCUCGGAAUCACUGGGCGUAAAGGGCGUGUAGGCGGGAAGAUAAGUCGGGCGUGAAAUCCCUAGGCUCAACCUAGGAACUGCACUCGAAACUGUUUUUCUUGAGUGCCGGAGAGGAAAGCGGAAUUCCUGGUGUAGAGGUGAAAUUCGUAGAUAUCAGGAGGAACACCAGUGGCGAAGGCGGCUUUCUGGACGGUAACUGACGCUGAGACGCGAAAGCGUGGGGAGCAAACAGG
rnacentral:rRNA from 1 species